rnacentral:lncRNA from 1 species
GUAACUCCAAAUUGGAUUCAAUUCCGAAUAAUGAGAGUCUCAUAUCAUUCAAUCUUAUUUUCCCAAUCAUCAUUAUCUCAUUACUUAGUUUCUACCUGUCAAUUUCCAAGGUAUCUCUCCUUGGAUGAUGCUUCCAUUUUCCUCUUUCUCUUUUAAUUUUAGUGUUGGUUUUAGUGGAAUACCCGACAUCCUCGGAUGUUCCAUUUU